GACGAACCGUCCAAACGUUAUUCGGAAUCACUGGGCUUAAAGGGUGCGUAGGCGGUGCGGAAAGUUGGAUGUGAAAUCCCCCGGCUCAACCGGGGAAUUGCGUCCAAAACUGCCGUGCUAGAGGGAGACAGAGGUGAGUGGAACUCAGAGUGGAGCGGUGAAAUGCGUUGAUAUUCUGAGGAACACCAGUGGCGAAAGCGGCUCACUGGGUCUCUUCAGACGCUGAGGCACGAAAGCUAGGGGAGCGAACGGG
rnacentral:misc_RNA from 1 species